GAUGAACGCUGGCGGCGUGCUUAACGCAUGCAAGUCGAACGAUGAAGCCCAGCUUGCUGGGUGGAUUAGUGGCGAACGGGUGAGUAACACGUGAGUAACCUGCCCUUGACUCUGGGAUAAGCCCGGGAAACUGGGUCUAAUACCGGAUAGGAGCGCCUGUCGCAUGACGGGUGUUGGAAAGAUUUUUCGGUCAUGGAUGGACUCGCGGCCUAUCAGCUUGUUGGUGAGGUAAUGGCUCACCAAGGCGACGACGGGUAGCCGGCCUGAGAGGGUGACCGGCCACACUGGGACUGAGACACGGCCCAGACUCCUACGGGAGGCAGCAGUGGGGAGUAUUGCACAAUGGGCGGAAGCCUGAUGCAGCGACGCCGCGUGAGGGAUGACGGCCUUCGGGUUGUAAACCUCUUUCAGUAGGGAAGAAAGCGAAAGUGACGGUACCUGCA
rnacentral:rRNA from 1 species